rnacentral:rRNA from 1 species
AUUGAACGCUGGCGGCAGGCCUAACACAUGCAAGUCGAACGAGUGGGGACGGGUGAGUAACACGUGGGUAACCUCCUCAUCAGAGGGGAUAACACUUGGAAACAGGUGCUAAACCCAUACUGCUGGAUGAACCCGCGGUGCAUUAGCUAGUUGGGGGGGUAACGGCUCACAAAGGCCACGAUGCAUAGCCGACCGGAGAGGGUGAUCAGCCACAGUGGGACUGAGACACGGCCCAGACUCCUACGGGAGGCAGCAGUAGGGAAUCUUGGGCAAUGGACGAAAGUCUGACGGAGCAAUGCCGCGUGAGUGAAGAAGGUUUUCGGAUCGUAAAACUCUUUUGUUAGAGAAGCGGUAUCUAACCAGAAAGCCACGGCUAACUACGUGCCAGCAGCCGCGGUAAUUC